rnacentral:rRNA from 1 species
UACGGAGGGGACUAGCGUUGUUCGGAAUUACUGGGCGUAAAGCGCACGUAGGCGGAUCGUUAAGUCAGGGGUGAAAUCCUGGAGCUCAACUCCAGAACUGCCUUUGAUACUGGCGAUCUUGAGUCCGGAAGAGGUGAGUGGAACUCCGAGUGUAGAGGUGAAAUUCGUAGAUAUUCGGAAGAACACCAGUGGCGAAGGCGGCUCACUGGACUGGUAUUGACGCUGAGGUGCGAAAGCGUGGGGAGCAAACAGG